rnacentral:rRNA from 1 species
CCUACGGGAGGCAGCAGUGAGGAAUAUUGGUCAAUGGACGAGAGUCUGAACCAGCCAAGUAGCGUGAAGGAUGACUGCCCUAUGGGUUGUAAACUUCUUUUAUAUGGGAAUAAAACGUUCCACGUGUGGGAUUUUGUAUGUACCUUAUGAAUAAGGAUCGGCUAACUCCGUGCCAGCAGCCGCGGUAAUACGGAGGAUCCGAGCGUUAUCCGGAUUUAUUGGGUUUAAAGGGAGCGUAGGUGGAGUGUUAAGUCAGUUGUGAAAGUUUGCGGCUCAACCGUAAGAUUGCAGUUGAAACUGGCAGUCUGGAGUACAGGAGAGGUAGGCGGAAUGCGUGGUGUAGCGGUGAAAUGCUUAGAUAUCACGAAGAACUCCGAUUGCGAAGGCAGUUCACUGGACUGCAACUGACACUGAGGCUCGAAAGUGUGGGUAUCAAACAGGAUUAGAUACCCUAGUAGUC